UUGAAUAGUUCGUAGUGCUGUGCUGGCCUCUCGGGGCAUGUGCACGCAUUGCAAUUAUUAUCAUCUUUUUUGUGAACCAGUGUAGUCUUCGGUCGAGUUCGUUAGUUGGAUGGCCCUUUGGGUUUUGAAAGCUAGUGGAUGAGGUCGGAGUCUAUGAUUUUAUAAACUUUUGUAUGUCUUUGAAUGUUUAUUACUUGACUGCAAAGUCAGUAAAUCUAUA
rnacentral:misc_RNA from 1 species